rnacentral:rRNA from 1 species
UACGGGGGGGGCAAGCGUUGUUCGGAAUUACUGGGCGUAAAGGGUUCGUAGGUGGCGUACUAAGUCAGACGUGAAAUCCCUCAGCUUAACUGGGGAACUGCGUCUGAUACUGGUAGGCUUGAGUGCAGGAGAGGAACGCGGAAUUCCAGGUGUAGCGGUGAAAUGCGUAGAUAUCGAGAGGAACACCUGCGGCGAAGGCGGGUUGCUGGGCUGAUGACUGACGCUGGAGGCGCGAAAGCCAGGGGAGCGAACGGG